rnacentral:rRNA from 2 species
UACGUAGGGUGCAAGCGUUGUCCGGAAUUAUUGGGCGUAAAGAGCUCGUAGGCGGUCUGUCGCGUCUGCUGUGAAAACUCGGGGCUUAACCCCGGGCCUGCAGUGGGUACGGGCAGACUAGAGUGCGGUAGGGGAGACUGGAAUUCCUGGUGUAGCGGUGAAAUGCGCAGAUAUCAGGAGGAACACCGGUGGCGAAGGCGGGUCUCUGGGCCGUAACUGACGCUGAGGAGCGAAAGCAUGGGGAGCGAACAGG